rnacentral:rRNA from 1 species
GACGAACGCUGGCGGCGUGCUUAACUCAUGCAAGUCGAGCGAUGAAACACCUUCGGGUGCGGAUUAGCGGCGAACGGGUGAGGAACACGUGAGGAAUCUGCCUUCCACUCUGGGAUAACUCCGGGAAACCGGGGCUAAUACCGGAUACUUUCAACUGGCGGCAUCGCCGGUUGAAGAAAGUUUUUCGGUGGAAGAUGACCUCGCGGCCCAUCAGCUUGUUGGUGAGGUAAAGGCUCACCAAGGCGACGACGGGUAGCCGGCCUGAGAGGGCGGCCGGCGACACUGGGACUGAGACACGGCCCAGACGCCUACGGGAGGCAGCAGUGGGGAAUAUUGGGCAAUGGAGGAAACUCUGACCCAGCGACGCCGCGUGAGGGAUGAAGGCCUUCGGGUUGUAAACCUCUUUUAGUAGGGAAGAAGCGAAAGUGACGGUACCUGCAGAAAAAGCACCGGCUAACUACGUGCCAGCCGCCGCAGUAA